AGCAGCCGCGGUAAUUCCAGCUCCAAUAGCGUAUAUUAAAGUUGUUGCAGUUAAAAAGCUCGUAGUUGAAUUUCGGGAUUGACACAUCGGUCGUGCCUUAAGGGGUAUGAACUGGUGUAGUCAAUUUCUCACCUUCUGGAGAACCGCGAUGCCCUUAAUUGGGUGUCGCGGGGAACCAGGACCUUUACCUUGAAAAAAUUAGAGUGUUUAAAGCAGGCAUUUUGCUUGAAUACAUUAGCAUGGAAUAAUAAAAUAGGACGGCAUGAUUCUAUUUUGUUGGUUUCUAGGAUCACCGUAAUGAUUAAUAGGGAUAGUUGGGGGCAUUAGUAUUCAAUUGUCAGAGGUGAAAUUCUUGGAUUUAUUGAAGACUAACUACUGCGAAAGCAUUUGCCAAGGAUGUUUUCAUUAAUCAAGAACGAAAGUUAGGGGAUCGAAGACGAUCAGAUACCG
rnacentral:rRNA from 1 species